rnacentral:rRNA from 1 species
GACGAACGCUGGCGGCGUGCCUAAUACAUGCAAGUCGAGCGAAGAGGCGGAUGGGUGAGUAACGCGUGGGUAACCUGUCCUUAAGUUUGGGAUACCAUAUGGAAACAGAUGCUAUUACCGGAUACUAAAUGAUGGACAUGCGAUGCAUUAGCUAGUUGGUAAGGGUACGGCGUACCAAGGCGAUGUUGCAGAGCCGAGUUGAGAGACUGAUCGGCCACAGUGGGACUGAGACACGGUCCAGACUCCUACGGGAGGCAGCAGUGGGGAAUAUUGCACAAUGGGCGCAAGCCUGAUGCAGCCAUGCCGCGUGUAUGAAGAAGGCCUUCGGGUUGUAAAGUACUUUCAGCGAGGAGGCGUUACUCGCAGAAGAAGCACCGGCUAACUCCGUGCCAGCAGCCGCGGUAAUUC